GUAAUCGCUCAGCCUGGUUUCCCCGAAUCUAAAAGGCAAAUAACGACUGUCAUUAUCGUCAAAGAAAUGCCAGCCUACUUCUUAUAGCUCUCCCCCUCUCUCUCUCUCUCUCUCUCUCUCUCUCUCUCUCCCUCCCUCCCUCCCUCCCUCCCUCUCUCACACACACUCACUCUUCCCCCCCACCUCCCCACUUUCUACCGUGCAGCCGAGGCGCUUCUCGUCUCCAAAGCCUGUCUCCAGAAGCAUGUCCUCAGACAUGCAGCCAAGGUGCGAUGAAGCGGACCAAAAGAAGCCACCAGCAUGACAGCAUGAAAGCAGUUGCAGGGCAAUGGCUCAUGAAACUCAGAUAUGAGGUGCAUCACAGCUCGGAAAGCUGCAUCCGUCAUGCAAAGAUCAUCCACCCUGUCUCUUUGAAGUCUUGGAUCUGUUGUGGCAACAUGGCUUCAUCCACACAACUUUCUCCACAGAGAGACACCAGAAUGAAAAGGUUCUGCUGCUGUGGAGCCGCUUAUUGAAAAAUGCAUCAAACUCCCCAUGCAUGAGGGAUGUGAAAUGUUAUGAGACCAGGUGUAACGCGGCCAAGUCAAUCAAUUUCAAAUCAAGCCAUGCUCCUCAGUCAUCCAUAAUAAUUUUUAGCACGCAAGUGGCUUUUUAAUCUUUUCAUACAGGAGGUGUGCUUAACCCAUGCACCCUCUAUGAAAAAUGCCAACGAGAGCACGAAGAAUUAAUUAAAAGAGGCAAUGUGUCUGAUGGAUAUAGUUGAAGUUUUCCCUGUGAAAAAUAUAAUUCAUUCGUUUUAAUUUA
rnacentral:lncRNA from 15 species